UCAAUCUCGUGCGGCUAUAUAUACCGCCGGUCCCUCUAAGAAGAUUUUCAUUGUACGCCGGUAGUGAAGACCGCGAAACGCGCGCCGCGACAGGCGCGAGCGCCGCACGGACACGCGCACGCGGGCCCUCGUGAUACCGGUAGCACGUCUAUUUAGUAGGCUAGAGUUACGUUCGUUAC
rnacentral:rRNA from 1 species